UGGGGAAUAUUGCACAAUGGGGGAAACCCUGAUGCAGCGACGCCGCGUGGAGGAAGAAGGUCUUCGGAUUGUAAACUCCUGUUGUUGAGGAAGAUAAUGACGGUACUCAACAAGGAAGUGACGGCUAACUACGUGCCAGCAGCCGCGGUAAAACGUAGGUCACAAGCGUUGUCCGGAAUUACUGGGUGUAAAGGGAGCGCAGGCGGGAGAACAAGUUGGAAGUGAAAUCCAUGGGCUCAACCCAUGAACUGCUUUCAAAACUGUUUUUCUUGAGUAGUGCAGAGGUAGGCGGAAUUCCCGGUGUAGCGGUGGAAUGCGUAGAUAUCGGGAGGAACACCAGUGGCGAAGGCGGCCUACUGGGCACCAACUGACGCUGAGGCUCGAAAGUGUGGGUAGCAAACAGGAUUAGAUACCCUGGUAGUCCACACCGUAAACGAUGAUUACUAGGUGUUGGAGGAUUGACCCCUUCAGUGCCGCAGUUAACACAAUAAGUAAUCCACCUGGGGAGUACGACCGCAAGGUUGAAACUCAAAGGAAUUGACGGGGGCCCGCACAAGCAGUGGAGUAUGUGGUUUAAUUCGACGCAACGCGAAGAACCUUACCAAGUCUUGACAUCCCUUGACGAACAUAGAAAUAUGUUUUCUCUUCGGAGCAAGGAGAUAGGUGGUGCAUGGUUGUCGUCAGCUCGUGUCGUGAGAUGUUGGGUUAAGUCCCGCAACGAGCGCAACCCUUGCUGUCAGUUACUACGCAAGAGGACUCUGGCAGGACUGCCGUUGACAAAACGGAGGAAGGUGGGGAUGACGUCAAAUCAUCAUGCCCUUUAUGACUUGGGCUACACACGUACUACAAUGGCGUUAAACAAAGAGAAGCAAGACCGCGAGGUGGAGCAAAACUCAGAAACAACGUCCCAGUUCGGACUGCAGGCUGCAACUCGCCUGCACGAAGUCGGAAUUGCUAGUAAUCGUGGAUCAGCAUGCCACGGUGAAUACGUUCCC
rnacentral:rRNA from 1 species